rnacentral:rRNA from 1 species
GACAGAGGGUGCAAACGUUGCUCGGAAUCACUGGGCGUAAAGGGCGUGUAGGCGGGAAGUAAAGUCAGAUGUGAAAUCCCUGGGCUCAACCCAGGAACUGCAUUUGAAACUCACUUUCUUGAGUACCGGAGAGGAAGGUGGAAUACCUGGUGUAGAGGUGAAAUUCGUAGAUAUCAGGUGGAACACCAGUGGCGAAGGCGGCCUUCUGGACGGUAACUGACGCUGAGACGCGAAAGCGUGGGGAGCGAACAGG